rnacentral:rRNA from 1 species
UACAGAGGGUGCGAGCGUUGUCCGGAAUCACUGGGCGUAAAGGGCGCGUAGGCGGCCUGAUAAGUAGGGGGGUGAAAUCCUGUGGCUUAACUGCAGGGCUGCCUCCUAGACUGUUAGGCUCGAGCACGGUAGAGGCAGAUGGAAUUCCCGGUGUAGCGGUGGAAUGCGUAGAGAUCGGGAAGAACAUCGGUGGCGAAGGCGGUCUGCUGGGCCGUUGCUGACGCUGAGACGCGAAAGCGUGGGGAGCAAACACGG